AACGAACGCUGGCGGCAUGCCUAACACAUGCAAGUCGAACGGGAUCCAGGCUUCGGCCUGGUGAGAGUGGCGGACGGGUGAGUAACACGUGGGAACCUGCCUUUUGGUUCGGGAUAACCGCGGGAAACUGCGGCUAAUACCGGAUGCUCCCGAGAGGGGAAAGAUUUAUCGCCAGAAGAGGGGCCCGCGUCCGAUUAGGUAGUUGGUGAGGUAAUGGCUCACCAAGCCGACGAUCGGUAGCUGGUCUGAGAGGAUGAUCAGCCACACUGGGACUGAGAUACGGCCCAGACUCCUACGGGAGGCAGCAGGUGGGGAAUAUUGGACAAGUGGGGGCAACCCUGAUCCAGCAAUGCCGCGUGAGUGAUGAAGG
rnacentral:rRNA from 1 species